rfam:Caenorhabditis brenneri strain PB2801 C_brenneri-6.0.1_Cont21.21, whole genome shotgun sequence.
AGCUGGUUUCUUCUCUGUUAAUGAGUCAAUAAUUAGCGUUCAUUAACUGGAGUAAACCAGCUCU